GGCUCGUUCGCUCAUGAGAUGAGAAAGAGCUGUCCACUGCCUUUCCCAAAACCCUAGUUACUAAACAAUAACCAUAAACCCAACUCAAUGUCUUGCUACUCAACUAUUUUCCAGUUCUCUAUUAGAACAUCCACAGCUAUGGCUUUGAGAACAACCACAUCGUCUUUUCAUUUUCAUUUCCAUAGAACUCCAAACAUAAGUCCUAGGCACCCAAUUCUAUUUCCAUUGGCAUCUUUUGUUUACCUCAGUAAUCCCCAAAUCCUUGAUUCUAAGCAUGUCUCGUAUGUGCCCCUGGAUUUUAAGCAUCGGGGGACAGUUAGGUGUACUGGUGCUGUUUGUUUUUUAGAGUGGAGGACCGUUGCAUCGCCAUUCUCCUGCCUGCAAAACUCGAAUUAUGGACGGUUUGCAUAUCAUGAGGUUUCUAGUGAUGAUUCGGACCGUGAAUUUGGGUCGUCUUCCUCGCAGUCAGUGAGUGGUUCCACACUUGAUAACAUCGAUGAUUGGAGAUGGAAGUUAACGAUGCUACUUCGCAACAAAGAUGAGCAAGAAGUCGUUUCGAGGGAGAAAAAGGACAGGCGUGAUUUUGAGCAUCUGUCAGCAUUGGCAAAUCGAAUGGGUUUGCAUAGCCAUCAGUAUUCAAGAGUUGUUGUCUUCAGUAAAGUACCUCUGCCAAAUUACAGACCUGAUUUGGAUGACAAGCGACCCCAGAGAGAGGUGAUAUUGCCUUUUGGACUGCAAAGAGAAGUAGAUGCCCAUCUUAAUGCUUACCUUUCCAAAAAGUCCAUGAAAAGGGGAAACUUUUCUGCUAAUUCAUUGUCAAGGUCAAGUGGUGGAAGUAUGGCCACCACUGAAGGACUCUAUGAACAGCCAGAUCCAUUGAUACAGAACAAUGUUGUCAUGGAGAAAAUUAUCCAGCGGAAAAGUUUGAAACUGCAAAAUAAGCAACAAGAAUGGCAGGAAUCUCCUGAGGGCCAAAAGAUGACUGAAUUUCGCCGAAGUCUUCCUGCAUAUAAAGAAAGAGAUGCACUACUAAAAGCCAUUUCUGAAAAUCAGGUGGUGGUUGUCUCAGGUGAAACUGGUUGUGGUAAAACUACACAACUCCCUCAAUACAUACUAGAAUCUGAGAUUGAAGCUGCUUGUGGAGCUACUUGCAGUAUCAUAUGUACUCAGCCCAGAAGAAUAUCUGCUAUGGCUGUGUCUGAAAGAGUUGCGGCAGAGCGAGGAGAAAAACUGGGAGAAUCAGUUGGUUACAAAGUUCGGCUUGAGGGAAUAAAAGGGAGGGACACGCGCCUUCUGUUUUGCACUACUGGCAUAUUAUUGAGGAGAUUACUUGUUGACAGAAAUUUGAAUGGUGUAACCCAUGUUGUUGUUGAUGAGAUUCAUGAACGUGGAAUGAAUGAAGAUUUCCUUCUUAUCAUCCUGAGAGAUCUCCUUCCUCGUCGGCCAGAGUUGAGGUUGAUUCUGAUGAGUGCAACCUUGAAUGCUGAGCUUUUCUCUUCCUACUUUGGUGGUGCUCCAAUGCUCCAUAUUCCAGGUUUUACGUAUCCAGUUCGAGCACAUUUUCUUGAGGAUAUUCUAGAAAUCACUGGAUACCGGUUGACUCCAUAUAACCAAAUUGAUGAUUAUGGUCAAGAUAAGGUUUGGAAAAUGCAAAAACAAACUCAAGCUUUCAGAAAGAGGAAGAGCCAGAUUGCCUCUGCUGUUGAGGAUGCACUUGAAGCUGCCAACUUUAAAGGCUACAGAUUACGUACCCAAGAGUCUUUGUCCUGUUGGAAUCCAGACUCGAUUGGUUUUAAUCUCAUUGAGCAUGUGCUUUCUCACAUAGUCAAGAAAGAGAGGCCUGGUGCUGUGUUGGUUUUUAUGACUGGUUGGGAUGACAUAAAUUCUUUGAAGGAUCAGCUAGCGACUCAUCCUAUCUUGGGUGAUUGUAGCAAAGUAUUGCUACUUGCUUGUCAUGGUUCUAUGGCCAGCUCUGAGCAGAGGUUAAUAUUUGAUAAGCCUGAAGAUGGAGUGCGGAAAAUUGUCCUUGCUACUAACAUGGCUGAGACUAGUAUUACAAUCAAUGACGUGGUCUUUGUGGUUGACUGUGGGAAGGCAAAGGAGACAUCAUAUGAUGCACUAAACAAUACUCCUUGUUUGCUUCCAUCAUGGAUCUCAAAGGCUGCAGCGCGACAAAGAAGAGGAAGAGCUGGUCGUGUUCAACCUGGCGAGUGUUAUCAUCUCUAUCCCAGAUGUGUAUAUGAUGCUUUUGCUGAUUAUCAACUACCAGAACUUUUAAGGACACCAUUGCAGUCUUUGUGCCUGCAAAUCAAAAGUCUCCAACUUGGUGGUAUUUCAGAGUUCCUUUCUAGGGCAUUGCAACCACCGGAACCUCUAUCGGUUCAAAAUGCUGUUGAAUAUUUGAAAGUGAUAGGAGCUUUGGACGAGAAUGAAAAUCUAACAGUGCUAGGACGCCACUUGUCGGUACUUCCAGUUGAGCCUAAGCUUGGGAAAAUGCUCAUAUUAGGGGCCAUUUUCAACUGUCUAGAUCCAGUAAUGACCAUUGUUGCUGGUCUUAGUGUCAGAGAUCCAUUCUUGAUGCCAUUUGACAAGAAGGAUCUUGCGGAGUCUGCCAAAGCACAGUUCUCUGCUCGUGAUUACAGUGACCAUCUUGCCCUUGUCCGAGCAUAUGAUGGUUGGAGAGAUGCUGAAAGACAACAAUCUGGUUAUGAGUACUGUUGGAGAAAUUUUCUAUCUGCGCAAACUAUGAGAGCCAUUGAUUCUCUUCGGAAGCAAUUCUUUUUCUUGCUCAAGGAUACUGGUCUCAUUGAUCAGAAAAAAGAGGAGUGCAGCAUGUGGAGCCAUGAUGAGCAUCUUAUCCGAGCAGUCAUCUGUGCUGGCUUGUUCCCUGGGAUAUGUUCUGUUGUGAACAAGGAUAAGUCUAUAGCAUUGAAAACAAUGGAGGAUGGUCAAGUACUUCUGUAUUCGGUAAGUUUCUUAUUUUUAAGCACUUGUUCUCUGCAGCUUGUUUUAGUAGAGGACACCACAGCAUUCAAAAUUUUGACUACUAUUUUUUAUUCUGGCUAUGAAUUGCAAACAACAGAAUUCUGUGAAUGCUGGGGUACACAAAAUUCCAUACCCGUGGUUAGUUUUUAAUGAAAAAGUGAAAGUGAAUUCUGUGUUUCUCCGGGAUUCUACUGGUGUAUCUGAUUCUGUGUUGCUUUUAUUCGGAGGAGACCUUUCAAGAGGUGGACUGGAUGGACACCUAAAAAUGUUGGGAGGAUACUUGGAAUUUUUUAUGGUACCUGCCUUGGGAAAUACAUAUCUAAGCUUGAAGAGAGAGCUUGAGGAACUAAUUCGGAAGAAACUUCAAGACCCCAACUUGGAUAUACAAUCUGACAAUGAGCUCUUGAUGGCAAUAAGAUUACUGGUUUCACAGGAUCAAUGUGAGGGUAAAUUUGUAUUUGGUCGCCAGCUGCCAGCACCUUCACAGAAGGCAAUGAAAGAUGCAAUGACUGGCAAACAGCCAUAUGAUAAUUCUAAAAAUGAGCUACAAACUUUGCUUGUCAGGGCUGGACAUGGAGCACCCUCCUAUAAGACAAAACAACUGAAAAACAACCAGUUUCGCUCCACUGUGAUCUUUAAUGGGUUGGACUUUGUGGGGCAGCCUUGCAGUAGUAAAAAACUUGCAGAAAAGGAUGCUGCCGCUGAGGCUCUGCUGUGGUUGAAGGGUGAGGUCCAUUCAUCCUCAAGAGAUAUUAACCAUGUGUCUAUGCUUUUAAAGAAGGGUAAAAGAAAAAGCCAAAACAAGACUCCAGUUCAUGGUGGUAAAUGGAGUUAAGGUGAUGCUAUUAGACGAAGGGAUAGAGUAUCAUACUUAUUAUUCACAAAAGGAAGAAACUAGCCAGCAAGGAGGAACACAGCUUCUGGUCCUUGCUGAAAUUUUGGUCAUUUGGAAUGGCCCAAACAAACCUUCCAGUUUUGGGGUCACAAGCCAAAAUGAAAAGCAGGUUUGAUAAAAUCCAUGGCAUUUUUCACUAUGCUUGUCUUUGGAAGGCUAUAUUUCAAAUGCUGAAGAUGGAGCAUCAGCUGGCAGAGUUGAUGAUAACAGAAAAUUGCCAUGCCUCGGAACAAAGAUCUCAUUGUUCUAAAUGCAUUGCUUCAUCAAUUAACGAGUACCCGAAUCAUUUUUACCAGAGCAUAGAAAGUGUACACCAUAUUCAUUGAUCAAUAUUCCAUUAACUAGUGUAAAUUGUUAAUGCCACACAUAGUAAAGUUAAAUGAAGGAAGCCUUUGCCUCCCCGCCUGCAUCAGAUAUUCUGGUUCAACUUGCACUGCAGCAUGUGGGAUUCCAGAGAAUUUACCUAUAGUUGUACAUUAUUAAUAGUUGAUGUGCUUUUUAU
rnacentral:misc_RNA from 1 species